UGAGUACAAGAUGCUACGGCAUUGAAGCAGUCUAUGUCAUACUUCCAAGAAAAGCUUGCAAUGUCAUAAACAAAUAAUGCCUGUACCAUAACCGACACAGGUGGGUAGGUAGAGUAUACUAAGGGGCGCGAGAUAACUCUCUCUAAGGAACUCGGCAAAAUGACUCCGUAACUUCGGGAGAAGGAGUACCUUAUUUUAUAAGGUUGCAAUAACAAGGUCCAAGCAACUGUUUACCAAAAACACAGGUCUCCGCUAAGUCGUAAGACGAUGUAUGGGGGCUGACGCCUGCCCAGUGCCAGAAGGUUAAAGAAGUUGGUUAGCAUUAGCGAAGCUGAUAACUGAAGCCCUGGUGAACGGCGGCCGUAACGAUAACGGUCCUAAGGUAGCGAAAUUCCUUGUCGGGUAAGUUCCGACCCGCACGAAAGGCGUAAUGAUUUGGAUACUGUCUCGGAGAGGGGCUCGGUGAAAUAGACUUGUCUGUGAAGAUGCGGACUACCUGCACCUGGACAGAAAGACCCUAUGAAGCUUUACUGUAACUUGAGAUUGAAAUUGGACUUUAUUUGCGCAGUGUAGGUGGGAGACCUCGAAAGUAUUCUUGCGGGAAUAUUGGAGUCAUCAGUGAGAUACCACUCUUAUAAUGUUAGAUUUCUAACUUUGUAUCAUUAUCUGGUCAAAGAACAGUUUCAGGCGGGCAGUUUGACUGGGGCGGUCGCCUCCCAAAUGGUAACGGAGGCGCACAAAGGUUUCCUCUGAACGUGUAGAAAUCGUAUCUAGAGUGUAAAGGCAUAAGGAAGCUUGACUGUGAGACCUACAAGUCGAGCAGGGACGAAAGUCGGCCUUAGUGAUCUGACGGUGCUGAGUGGAAAGGCCGUCACUCAACGGAUAAAAGUUACUCUAGGAUAACAGGCUGAUCUCCCCCAAGAGUUCACAUCGACGGGGAGGUUUGGCACCUCGAUGUCGGCUCAUCGCAUCCUGGGGCGGUAGUACGUCCCAAGGGUUGGGCUGUUCGCCCAUGAAAGCGGUACGCGAGCUGGGUUCAGAACGUCGUGAGACAGUACGGUCCAUAUCCGGUGUAGGCGUUAGAAUAUUGAGAGGAGCCUUCUUUAGUACGAGAGGACCGAGAAGGACAUACCUCUGGUGUACCAGUUAUCGUGCCAACGGUAAACGCUGGGUAGCUAUGUAUGGAGAGGAUAACCGCUGAAAGCAUCUAAGUGGGAAGCCCACCUCAAGAUAAG
rnacentral:rRNA from 1 species